UUAAAGUUUUAUUGGCACCUCUCAGCCCUUAUUCUGUCAAUGUGAAUUAUACCAGAUUCUGUACCAGAUUCACAGCCCUUUACUCUUGGUAAGAUGUUGAAUUUAAAUAUUGCACUCUUGUUGAACUCUUCGCAGAUAGCUGAUUCAAAACAUUUAAAUAGGGCUUUUCAUUGUAGAAUUGUUUCUCUUGACUUAUUGCUCAGAGCAAAGAUUUUUUAAGCUUUGUUCAACAGGAACAAAGUGGUUCAGCUGAUGUGAUGAAGCUCACUUACAGCUUAUUUUAAAUUAUAAUAAAGAAUAUUAUUUUAUUUAUUAUUAUUAUUAUUAGUAGUAGUAGUAGUAUUCAUUCUGUUGUGUCUAAAAAAAAACACUUAUGUGCUACACAUUUCAGCAUCACAGCAACAUUAUAAUGUUCACUGUGAAUUUUCUUUUUUUCCCCAAGAGGCAAAUCAUUACAUAUAACAGUUUUCUAAAUGCUUACUUAAGGGUAAUCUGAAUCAUAUGCUCACCAAUGCUGCAUUUAUUUACAAUAAAGUGUGCAUUUAUAAUAAAGUUCUUAUGAUGGCAAACCUGAAUUUUCAGCAGCCAUCGAUCCAGUUUUCAAUGUCACAUGAUCCUUCAGAAAUCAUUCAAAUAUACUGUGUUGGUGCAAACCAUGUCUUAUUACUAUCAGUGUUGAAAUAAGUGUUUGUGUAUCGCCAAUAUCAUCCAAUACUAAUGGAUAUAAAUAAUCUCUAAUAUUGGCUGAUAAUCAAUAUCACUACAUUUUAGAGUCGAUUGCCAAAGCUAGUUACCCAUACAUCGUUUGGAGCAUUUGGCCUCGCUGAAAAAAGUUUCCCAAGAAGCUGAACUUCAGCUGUACUGGCACAGCUAAAACAAUGACACUUUAUAAUUGUCCUUGGCUCCACCUAUGCUCUAUUAGAUUAAUUUGGAAAACUAUUAUGUAAUACCUUUAAAUGACAGUAGUGUUGGUCCAACCUCAUUGGAUUGUGGUUAGACAGACAGAACUUUCUUUCCAUAAUGGGCAGGGAAAAGCAGGUCUGGAAUAAUGCUGCUCCUGUUGCUACACUAGAGCCUAAGACUCUGCUUUAAUGAGAGGGAUAACAGGCCUAGGUGGCUGGAGGCAAAGGGAAGCCUUUGGGAAUGGCAUUAACCUCUUGGAAUUAAAUUGCCAAGUUCAGCUUUGAUCCUUUGGAGAGGGUAUUUUAUUUAGUCCAGCAAUGGUUUUGCCCCCCACCUUACCUCUCUCUCUCAACUGCUCUCUUUUUCAUUCCCAGAAACUGGGUAGAGAUGAAGAGGGGAGUAUACAAGACUGUAUGGAGAGGUGGCCACCAUAUUUGUGGCCUCAGGGAGUGGUCAACCCCAAUGAUGUGCUGCUCUCUCUUCAUUAUCCCAUUUUCCCUCUCUUUGUGUUAGGUGUAAACACACAGAAUCACAGAGGCAGCUGGGGUUGGGCCCGUCAAAACAGGGGUUGUCUUCUCUAGCUGACAGAUCUGUGUGUGGUCUUCCAGGACUUUGGAAACAGACCUAACCAAAGAGGUCAGCAGCCAUGACCAUCAAGCUUGACUCAACAAAUUAAGCUAAUGCACAGCUUUGCCCAAGACACAAAGUCUGCAAAAAUGCUCUUUUGAAAUCUUUUGAAAUUACUUAAGGUGGAAUUAUCUAUUUUGUUUCCUUAAAUGAGAAAAUUCAGAACAGUUGUAUUGAUUCUGCUCAUUUCCAUUAUCAGGCUCAUCGGGCAUCAUCAUCAAACUCGUCACAUGUUGACACUUGGUCAAGACCCAGAGGGCCACUUUUUAAUGCAGAGGGUACUCCAUUAGUGUCAUUUUUCGACAUGCAGGGUACUCUGUUGACUUUCGGUUGUUUUCCUUAUGUGUCAGAUCAUGACACAUUUAAUUAUUUGCAUGCAUUUGAAAAAUAGAAAUACGUUUAUAUACAUUUAUAUUUAGAUAUUUUGGAACACCUAACACCACCCCUACGCUAAACUAACUCACUUCUCAACAAUGUCUUCAUAUUGACACCAAAGGUUUCUUAUUGGCACAAUAGAGUACCCUGCAAAAGUACUACCAAAUGUCAAAAUGUUAUGAGCUAUCAGCGCUCACAGGCAGGGUGCCGACAUAUAGCGCCACUGCACUUCGGCGUUCUCGAGUUUAAAUCAUGGCUCAUGGACCUUUCCCAAUCCUGUUCCCCUCUCUCUUUCCCACUUCGUUUCCUGUCUACUCACUAUCCUAUCGUAAUAAAUGCAAAAAAGAUUAAAAAAAAGUAAAAAAAAAGAUUCUGAGUCACCACAUCACUAAAACCAUUUCACCAAACGUGGCUUUCCUGUACUGAUUGUGGUUGGUUAAACCAACCAAUUUCACCUCAGAUCUGCCUUUGUGUACGGAAAGAAUAUCCAGUGCUGGGAAUCCCCAGCAUAAUUGCUUUAGGGAGAAUUAGCCUGGAUUUGGAGCUGUCUGCGCCACAAAACACAAAUCAAAGUCAAUGAAUGACUGAAAAACAACUAGAGUCUGUAGUUGGUUAUUUUGGCAAGCUGCGUUAGGUCAUAACGAAAACAUUUUACUGGCAUACUAUUCACUUACUGGAUAAUUAUAUAGGGAAAGACUUCAGGUUCAAGAACAGCUGAUAAGAGUCGAUGGACAGUGUAGGGUUUAGUGUGUUUCCUGCAGGAGAAUAAAUUGAAUGUGGCCAUAAUCACAUUGCAGGAAUGCAGUCAGUGUACUCUUGUGAAACACCCCCUAAGCCCUGGCUCUGUUCCACUCUCUCAGAGGCUCACAAAGAUGGCUUUGUUCUCUCCUCCUCUCCCCUUUCUCUUUCUCUCUCUCUUGACUUUUCAUUUCUUUGCCUCCUUCUAGCUCACAUUUGCUUUCCUCUAUCCCAGUUUUACUUUCCCUCUCUCAGUCAGUCAGUGUUCCUCUUUUCCACUUUUACUUUCUCUCUUUUUAGUGGCUUCAGGGUUUUUCCCAUACCUUCCCCUACUUUUAUUUUGUUUGAAAGAUCAAAUUUCUGGACUGCCAUGUUUCAUUUUGUUCAUGUUAUGUAAUUGCUUGUUUUCUCCAGAAGAAAAUCUUUAUUGUUUAUACAGAAAAUAAGUUGUUGAAAGCAGCAGGACAACAAGGCAUCCUCUUUUUUUAACACUGCCUUACCAAACCCUAAAACCUCGCACAAAGUCUUAUAAUGCUUAGACUGUGCAGAACCAUAUUUACAAUGUUUUAUUUGUGCACUAAUGCACAAUUGUGUUUUGCAUUGUCAUUGAUGACCAACUUAGAACCGACCUGUUUGAAAAAGCUUGAUUGGAACUUGACCAAAUUCUCCAAAAUAUAACUUGUUUGCUGCUUUGAACCUCAAGCUUUAGCUAUGUUGUGAGACACUUCCCCAAGCUCAUAUUAGAGAGACAUUGAGAGAAUUGUGCUGCCAAGAGGAUUUGCCCAGGUGUUGGGUAAUUUCUGGAAAUUUGUUUCUUCUUGCCUGGUCAUUUGGUGAAAAGGCAUGCAAGAACUGGCGGGUUUUCUUCUAGGAACUGUCAUCUGCUCACAUCUCAGACUGCAGCUGCUGCUCUGUAUUCCAGCCACAUUUGCAAGCAUGUGAAUAUGGAAGUAACAAACAAAAGCCUCUGCUUUAGCCAUGUUUCCCUUAAGAUUCAAUCGUUUCACAGGUGCUGGUUUACCAAUACACAUUGAGACAUAGUGUGUGUGUGUGUGUGUGUGCGCGCAUGUGUGCACUUAAGCACAUGUGCGGAUUUCUGUCUGUACUUAUGUGUAAGUGUCAUUGUUGAACAGAAACCCCCUUUCUAUUUAAGUGCCAAACAGAAUGACUCACCCUGUCACAGCUGCAAAUGUCCAUACUCUCAGGACUCAGUGUUCUGCUUUCAGCAGAGGGCAUUGCAUACAUGGGUACCAAAACCCAAACCCCUGAAAGUAAAAUGGGGUGUGCUGUACACUCUUAGACUGCGAGUCAAACCCAGAUACAGCUCUGUCAGUUGUAUUGGUCUUCCUGAUUCCUGAGGCCUAGCCUACAAAGAACGAGGUUGAGCUACAUGAACUAUCCUGAUCUUAUCUCCAAUGAAAAACGAGCCUGCAAACAAUGGUGUUUACUGUCAACAGUGGUUAUCAUCCAGUUCAUUACAUUUAUAUUGCGAUUAUGUAAGGGCAAUUACACAACUUUCUGGUCUUCAUAUUUUGUCUCUGUUAAAAAGCCGCAGUGUCCUCGAAUCUCCACAGAGGAAAUGGAGCAUUUCUAAAUCAGAACAUUUUGACUCACAAAGAACAAAAACAAGUCCCCUAUUAAGUUGCCCCUUUGCCAGGCCACAGCCAGGUCACAUGGAGGAUUCGCAAGUCCAAUGGGAUCUGCAGGAAAAACAAAACUCUUCAUCCUGUCAGGAAAGCAUGGCAGAGGAUCCUAGACCUACGACAAACUAAGCAACUUAUUUGAAGCCUGGUCAACAUGAAAAUAACAAAUUCUUUUCUUUUACCCAGCGUGUCUAAGUUGGAGCCUCACAUUAUUUUCACACAGAUAAACUUGAAACAAAAGGCCUUGGCUGACUCAGUGUUUCCAGCAGGGUGAAGAGUAGAGGGAUUUUACAGAGCUGUACCAUGUGUCUUGGCCAGUGCCGCACUGACUCAUCAUCAGCAAUCAGCAUUGGAUCUGGAUGCCUUUUGCUGCAGUGGUUCUGUGGGGUAAAGGCUCCCAUGACUGUGAGACGAUUUUUCAAGCUGCUCAUCUCUGUAAUUUAGCAAUUCGGUUUGAUUAUUUUGGGGAUUUUGUUUCGACUGAACCCAGAAUAGCUUGGGCCGAUGAGCAAAGGGGGUUUACUUAUCUUUUUCCUGUUUCCUAAGUGCAAAAACACAUUCUGAUGGGGCUGACAGGUUCUCCGCAGCUCUGGUUUCUCAGUGCACAGACUGAUGUGUGCCCCUAAUGAGAAGUUUUCUGGACUGCGGUGCUCCAGCCCUCCAGACUCCACCUGAGCUCCAUAAAUCAAAGAGGCAGAGACGCUGGGGGUCAGUGCGAGAGCCCUCAAGAGGAGUCGUCUCUUCACUCCGUUUACUCAGUGCUUGUCCUGGUUCAGUGAGUUGGGCCUUGCGAACCGGAUCACACUUUUUUUUAAUAUCUGUGUUAUGUCAUGUCCACUUGUUCUACUACUAAGUUCUCAAAGCUCUUAAAUGCCAUUUCCAAAAGGGGCAGCAUUAAAAACAGUGAGCGUCAGGCCAUGUACACCCUCCUGAGCUACAGGUUUCCUGUCUCGCUAGUCUUGCUAGGACUUGCCCCAUAUAUUCUGCUGUAUUGAGUAAUAAAAAAGCAUAAUAGCAUUCAUAUAUUCUGUUUAACCGCACAGUGUGCGUUUGUCUGAAUGUGACAAAGGGUGAGAGAAAGACUGGAUAUGAAGGGAAUUUGGAGCGGCCCCCUUGAAGGCAUAUGUAAACAUUUACGCUUUGUCUCAAGCCGCUGGUGUGAUUACAGUGGCUGUACUGUACAGAGGCAGUCAAAUGGAAAAUGCAGAGCACAUGAGUAUGAGUGGCCUUCUUGCUGGAGAGCAUUUCCUGACCACUCUGCUUCAUGGUAUUAGCUGGGCGCUGCCUCACGAAACUGAUGUGUUGCAUCUGAUAUAGAGGCUUGUUUGGAGAUCCAGUCAACAUCCGUCCACACUCUGUUCAAGUAUGUUUAUGGGUUUGCUUAUCUCCAGAUUGAAUAGAUGCCGUAGUACCAGGAGAGGAUCAGACUUGGCGGCGUAGAAUGACGCAAUGGAAACGCAACCAGAAGAGGUAAAUAAUUAGGUUUGCAAGCAGCUUAGAACUUUGGAACACCAGCCAUGUGAAAUCAAACCCUCUUGUUUUGACGUGUCAUGCGUUUUUACUUGUUGUGAUUGUUACGAGGAACUGGAGAAAUCAGUCAGGCCUGUUAUUACUCCAAACGUAGAACCUGCCAGUUUGUGGGAUGCUAAUAUCACUCAAAGGUUGUGCUAGCUUUAGCACAGUGCAGUGUACAUACAGUAGAUCUUAGGGGGUGUUCAAAAUGCAAUGUGAAAGCAACGGACAGCAGUCAUUUUCAGUAAGAGCCGGCGGUUUCCAAGACACAAGUAACAGAGAUUGUUGCUGAUGUGAUGGCUUUAUACAAAUAAGCAAUGCAGGGACUACCAAUGGGAGUGCCUACAGUGAUCUUCCACCCGAUACAGAUUUUUAUCGCUGCCUGUAGGAGUGGGGUUUCUCUGGAAGUUUUAUGCUCAUGUAUUUGCUUUCUAUUCUAGGGCCCCAUCACGAGGUUUGGACUGAAAAUGAAACAAGACUAGGCACCCAGCCUCAAGGAAGACGUUCUUCUCAUGAAAAACCAAAGCUUGGGCAUCAAGAGGUUUCAUCAUGGCCACAGGAAUGAUAGUAGCAAAACAUAGCUGGAUAUGCAGUUAGCCAUGUUCUACAUUGUCUUCCCCCACAAAACAGGCCACAUUAAAUUUGUCGCUCAUUUGCCUCAGCUGCUCACUAGGAGAUCACAGGUCAAAUAAAGUGAUUAAAGAGAAAUCUUGCUGUUCAUAAUACAGAUGUUGAGUUUUUAAGAAAUCAUUUGCAUUUAUGUUGUUUUCAUACUGUAAAAAUAUUAACUUAUAAUUAAACUAAUAAUAAAUGGGUUGUUGUGUGUUAGUUGCAUUACAUUGGCUUUUAUUUAACCAGUAAAAGUUUGUUUUAUUUUAUUUAUGCAUUUAACAGAUGCUUUGACUUACAUUGCAUUCAAGCUAACAAUUUUCUCCUAACAUGUGUUCCGUGGGAUUCAAACCCCCGACCUUGUGCUUGCUAACGCAGCACUCUACCACUUGAGCUACAGGAACAAUACAAAUUUUUACAAAUAAUUUUUACAAAAAUUUUACAAAUAUCUAGAUGUUUUGAUGAUUUAAGCCCCAUUAAAAAUAUCAAAAUAUUUUUUUUUUUAUGCUUUUGUGUUUUUUUUUUUUUUCUAGGGAAUGAAGACCCAGAAAGUGUUUUAAACCAAGGAACAGAUCCAGGACUUCAGCCAAUCAGAGUAAGGAUGGGGUUCCUCUACAACCUAUCCCAGGCCACACCUUCUACUUGUUAAAAACUUCCUUUGGCUGCAGAACAUAGUGGCUGAUAUUCUUCUGUUUUUAACAGCUGUGAAGUGGCUUAUGUUGAACUCUCAAUGCCGUGCAUUAUCUGAAGGAACAUGUGGUGGAUCAGCAAAGAGCGCCAGACACAACGCAAACAGAUCGGACCCAGACUCCCCUUCCCAGAACAUGACCUCAGUUCUCAUCCAGUUAGAAAACUGCAGCAUCAGUCAGCCAUUGAUUGACAGACGUAAUAUCCCUGUCGCCGGUGGAGUGAUAAGACGGCAGUCUUGAACAAAUGCUUCUUGACCCUGACCGGCCGUUGCCAUGGCUUCUAUUCCCAUGACUCCUGUUCCCAUGGUUCCUCAACCUUAAAGGGAAGUUUGUCUGAUUAGAUGAACAAUGGUGUUAUUUUGGGUGGUUCCUCCUUUUCCGUCUUGUUUUGCUUUUGGUUGUAAAUGUGCUCAUAUACACAAGGAAAAAUUUCUUUGUAUUUAUAUUUAGGAUUUAUUCCUUCCUAGUAUGGCUUUUAUAGACUUCAAACACUUAUAAAUGAGACUGAUUUUCAAACUCAA